UGUGAAUGUAAGGCGUAGUGUUACAGAUCUGAUAUGAAGGAAACAAAAUAUAGUUCGAAAGGAAAAGAUUGUUAUGUGAGUCCAUGAUUGCUAUUAAUAUUUCAGUUCAUUUAUUGCUAAUCAUAACACCAAACAACAUAAAAUAUUUUCAUUGAAUAUGCAUGAUGGAUAAUAUAUUCAUAAAUACCUUUUUCUUAGNAAGUACAUUCAUGAUCCN
rnacentral:lncRNA from 1 species